rnacentral:rRNA from 1 species
CUAAGAAUAUUCCGCAAUGGACGGAAGUCUGACGGAGCGACGCCGCGUGGAUGAAGAAGGCCGAAAGGUUGUAAAGUUCUUUUGCUGGGGAAGAAUAACCGCAGGAGGGAAUGCCUGUGGGAUGACAAGAACCGGCGAAUAAGCCCCGGCCAACUACGUGCCAGCAGCCGCGGUAACACGUAGGGGGGCGAGCGUUGUUCGGAAUUACUGGGCGUAAAGGGCAUGUAGGCGGCUUGGAAAGCCUGGCGUGAAAGUCUGCAGCUUAACUGCAGGGGUGCGCUGGGAACUGCUGAGCUUGAGUGACGGAGAGGGAGCUGGAAUUCCUGGUGUAGGGGUGAAAUCUGUAGAUAUCAGGAAGAACACCGAUGGCGAAGGCAAGCUCCUGGCCGAUGACUGACGCUGAGGUGCGAAAGUGUGGGGGAUCAAACAGGAUUAGAUACCCUGGUAGUCCACACAGUCAACGAUGUGCACUAGGUGCUGGGGCGGUAGCUUCGGUGCCGGAGCGAACGUGGUAAGUGCACCGCCUGGGGAGUAUGCUCGCAAGGGUGAAACUCAAAGGAAUUGACGGGGGUCAUACUGUUUU